GUGCCAGCCGCCGCGGUAAGACGAACCGUGCAAACGUUGUUCGGAAUCACUGGGCUUAAAGGGCGCGUAGGCGGGUUUCCAAGUCUGUGGUGAAAUCCUCCAGCUUAACUGGAGAAGUGCCGUGGAUACUGGAAGUCUCGAGGAGGGUAGGGGCAUCUGGAACUGCCGGUGGAGCGGUGAAAUGCGUUGAUAUCGGCAGGAACUCCGAUGGCGAAGGCAAGGUGCUGGACCCUUUCUGACGCUGAGGCGCGAAAGCCAGGGGAGCAAACGGGAUUAGAUACCCUUGUAGUCC
rnacentral:rRNA from 1 species